CAGUGUUUCCCAAAUUGGGGAUUGCCAAAAAUUUAAAAUAUCGGGUCACCCAUGUAUAAAAUUUAUAUUUAAGGGUUGCUCAAAAAUGUAAUAAUCAUUUAGGGGGUCGCAACGGUAAAGGUUGAGAAACUGUCAUAUAAUAUUGACUUAACUGUAUUUGAUUGGGUUUUUUUUUUUUUAAAUUAGAGGUUUUUUUGAUAAAUUACUUUUAAAACUGACCAAUUGAGAUUUUGGUUGCCC